GCAGGCAGCUACCUCUCUGCAACUCUCACAUGGCACCCACUGAAGCUAAGCAGAGCUGUGCCCAGUCUGUACCUGGAUGGGAGACCAUAUGGGGAAGCUAGGUUGCUGCUGAAU
rnacentral:rRNA from 1 species